rnacentral:rRNA from 1 species
AACGAACGCUGGCGGCAUGCCUAACACAUGCAAGUCGAACGAAGGCUUCGGCCUUAGUGGCGCACGGGUGCGUAACGCGUGGGAAUCUGCCUUCAGGUACGGAAUAACUCAGGGAAACUUGAGCUAUUACCGUAUAAUGACUUCGGUCCAAAGAUUUAUCGCCUGGGGAUGAGCCCGCGUCGGAUUAGCUAGUUGGUGAGGUAAAAGCUCACCAAGGCGACGAUCCGUAGCUGGUCUGAGAGGAUGAUCAGCCACACUGGGACUGAGACACGGCCCAGACUCCUACGGGAGGCAGCAGUGGGGAAUAUUGGACAAUGGGCGCAAGCCUGAUCCAGCAAUGCCGCGUGAGUGAUGAAGGCCUUAGGGUUGUAAAGCUCUUUUACCCGGGAAGAUAAUGACUGUACCGGGAGAAUAAGCCCCGGCUAACUCCGUGCCAGCCGCCGCCGUAACAC